GCCGCUUUAGCUCAUCCGGUAGAGCACAGCCUUUGUAACGCUGAGGUGGCGGGUUCGAGUCCCGCAGGCGGCU
rnacentral:tRNA from 1 species